UGCUCUUAUUCCUUUGAGGCAUGGAAGGUGUGGAAAGCAAGGUCAUCUUGUGUCUAAGUGCAUGAAUACAUCUCCAACAUAUUUCAAUUGUGGAUAGGGUCAUAUCAACACCUAUUGUCAGAAGCCAAAGACAAGACCAAGUGUAGGUCAGCGCGACGUGGGAGCUAGAGAGCCAGAUGAAUGAGUCUUGUCUAGAGUAGUCCUUCUCAACUAAAUUUUCGAGCACAAAAAUUUUGUAAAUGGAGAAAGUUGUA
rnacentral:lncRNA from 1 species